CGGUAUCUUUUGUUAACAGGGAACUGAAAAAAUUGAAGGAGUUGCUCUACAUGGCUCUUACGGGACUAGAUUCAGUGCACAAGCAUUUACCAACAUGAAAAAACUGAGAUUUCCAAAAUCACUGAAGAAGGUGUAACCAUCUCUCAGCCCUACUCUUUGAAGACUUUCUGGGGUUUCUCUGCUUUCGAAAAUCCAACAUUGGGUGCUGAAGGAUCAUGGUAGUUGAAUAGAGGCAUGGCUUCUGAACUUGAAACAGCUAACUAGGAGCUAAGUUGAACUUUAAUGUGUUUCUACAGUUAUUGGAACCAAGAAUUUGUAACAGUGUUGACUCGAAUAUAGCUGGUUGGCUUUUGAGAAACAUUUUAGCUAUAAUACCCAUCGUUUUCUUAAAUUUGGUGUUGCAGCAUCCAACGAGUAUGAACUUAUUGUAGUGACACUUAAAGCAAUGUCUAUUUUCCUUUGAAUCA